AACGAACGCUGGCGGCAUGCCUAACACAUGCAAGUCGAACGAGACCUUCGGGUCUAGGGGCGCACGGGGGCGUAACGCGUGGGAACCUGCCCUUAGGUUCGGAAUAACUCCCCGAAAGGGGUGCUAAUACCGGAUAAUGUCUUCGGACCAAAGAUUUAUCGCCUUUGGAUGGGCCCGCGUUGGAUUAGCUAGUUGGUAGGGUAAAAGCCUACCAAGGCGACGAUCCAUAGCUGGUCUGAGAGGAUGCUCAGCCACACUGGGACUGAGACACGGCCCAGACUCCUACGGGAGGCAGCAGUGGGGAAUAUUGGACAAUGGGCGAAAGCCUGAUCCAGCAAUGCCGCGUGAGUGAUGAAGGCCUUAGGGUUGUAAAGCUCUUUUACCCGGGAUGAUAAUGACAGUACCGGGAGAAUAAGCUCCGGCUAACUCCGUG
rnacentral:rRNA from 1 species